CCCUUAGAUGUUCUGGGCCGCACGCGCGCUACACUGAUCGAUUCAACGAGUUUUAUAAUAUUUUGUUUAAAAAAUUUAUAUAUCCUUUGUCGGAAGGCAUGGGUAAUCUUUUAAAUGUCGAUCGUGAUGGGGCUAGAUUCUUGCAAUUAUUAAUCUCCAACGAGGAAUUCCUAGUAAACGCAAGUCAUCAGCUUGCAUUGAUUACGUCCCUGCCCUUUGUACACACCGCCCGUCGCACCUACCGAUUGAGUGAUCCGGUGAGUAAUUCGGACUGGAGCAGUGUUCAGUUCCUGAACGUUGCAUCGGAAAGUUUAGCAAACCUUAUCACUUAGAGGAAGGAGAAGUCGUAACA
rnacentral:rRNA from 1 species